AAAGCAUGGAAGGAAGGAGGGAAGGAAGGAAGGAAGGAAAGAAGGAAGGGAACAAGGAAGAAACAGGAAGAGAUUUGGUAAGUUGCUCAUUUGACAGGUUACAUGCCAGUAUGUAAGACACCCUUGGAUGAGUUCCAAAACUGUACAAGAUCAGGCAUGGUUGUUCGUAUCUACAAUUUAUUGGUGAAUUUCAGACAUUCAAAGUCAUCACUGGAUAUAUAGUGAGCUUCAGGCAAGUCUGGGGUUUAUGAGACCCUGUGAGAGAGAGAGAGAGAGAGAGAGAGAGAGAGAGAGAGAGAGAGAGAGAGAGAGAAGGAGCUAGGGACAUAGGGGUAGAGGAAGAAAGGAAGGACUGACUUCGAGCGAUAGCGACGCAAGAUGGCAGCCACCACAGGCUCGGGAGUAAAAGUCCUUCGAGAUUUCCGACUGUUGGAAGAGCUGGAAGAAGGCCAGAAAGGAGUAGGCGACAGCACAGUUAGCUAGGGUCUGGAGGACGAUGAGGACAUGACACUCACAAGAUAGACAGGCAUGAUAAUUGGGCCUCCACGAACAAUUUAUGAAAACCGAAUAUGCAGCCUUAAGAUAGAGUGUGGGCCACGCUAGUAUCCAGAAGCAUCCCAGUCUGUGAGAUUUGUAACAAGAGUCAAUAUGAACGGCGUGAGCAGUUCCAAUGGAGUGGUGGAUGAACGAGCCAUGGCAGUGCUGGCAAAGUGACAGAAUUCCCACAGCCUCAAAGUCAUCCUGCAGGAACUAAGGCACUUGAUGAUGUCAAAAGAGAACAUGAAGCUGCCACAGCCACCAGAAGGACAGUGUUACAGCCAUUAGUCACCAAGGCCCCGGCCUCCCUUCCCCAUCCAACCCAAGUCUUCAUUUUCCAUAGUAGUGAAUUUUCUAGAUCCAUCUGUAGACCUCAAAGUACUGGAGAGUAAGCCCCAUUUAGACUUCAUCCUGAGACACUGCUCUGAUACUAACUUCUUGUCCAUUUGAAAUACCUAAGUUGUGCUGUGUAACAUCAUCUGUCGAGUAUAACUGCUGUCUGCCUGGUUGAACUCAUGGGAUCAAUAAGGUGUGUUGAAAUCGGUUUCCUUUGGGAGUGGUGGGCACAGCUAACGCAACUGUGGACAGACACGUCUCACACAAUCACCUGCUGCUGGCACUUGGCCUGAGUAUGCCUUUGCCCGGCCCGCCCUCUGCCACAGCUGUGUGGUGGCCCAUAGAAUAGAUGGGGAGGUUUCAGGUAGCAGCUGUGGGACUGACCACCACUAGGCUUGGGGUGCUCUGGCUGUACCCAUGCUUUCUUAAGUCUUAAGUGAUUGCCCCAUCCAAGCCAUGGUCCCCACUCCUCCACUCCCACCCUUGGUCAAAGCUUAAAUUGUAACCUCCCCUCCCCUGAAAUUGGCCUCGGGUGAGGAAUUCAGAGCUUCUAGUCUCCCCACCUUUAUCAAGGGGUGCUGCUUUCCCCUCCUCAAGUCCCUUGUUGCCCAUCACCACCAAACAAUUGCUGUGGCCAGAAGCCAUCAGAUGAGGUUGAAAAAGCCUGGCCUCCCUCCCUUAGCUCUGGACCACACUUGUUCACCUGCCACCAGCCUGCGAAGGGUGCUCUGGGUCCGAGGCCCUGCCACCACAAUUAGCUCUUGAGCUUUGAGCUCAGGUCUAGAGGUGAACAGAGCAGUCACAGGGCGACUCAGACGGGCCACCACUCAGGGUCCUUGGAUAUAUGCCUAGAGAAAGGCCAUGUGGAGAGUCCUCAGUGCACAGGUUCUGAGUUCGUUCCUUUUCCCAUAAUUGCUUUGUUUUUACACGAUGAAGAGGUUUGAACAGGGCUCUCAGUCACCCUGACCACCCAUCGGGUCUGGAGUGGAGUCUGACAGCUGAAGCAUGAGGCCCUGACUCUGCCAACUCGGGUUUCAGUGUUGCUCCUCAGACCCUGGGCAAGAACCCAGAGGAGCUCUGUGUCACCAUGUUCACAGAUCGUUUGCAGAUAGGUGGGCCUAGCUCCUGGCUCAUUGACAAGCUCCCCGCUCUGUUCAGGACCACUAAAUGUUGAAAUGUGGAUGCAUACUGAAAUAAAGGCAAUUGGAGGUGUUGCAAAGGAAAAAAAAGACUGAGCAAAUGAAACACUGGUGAUUUUUUGUUAGUCCAUUCAAGCCUCAUUAAGUUUCAAAUUUUUCAAACUAGCCAUACGUACAGCAAAAUUCAAAAAGACAAUGAUAAUAACCACAUGGCAGUCACCUGGGAAGGGAAUUUGCUCUCAGUGGUAGAAUGUAAAUGAGCUGAGUUGAUAGUAUAAGAAUAAAGCAAAUCCUCAACUGAUUGAUUUGAAGUAUCUUUUCCCACAUAUGAGCUUACUUUAAUGAGAGGAAUGGUGGACAUGUCAACCUUUAAUGAAGUACAAUUUUUUAAGACUUCUCUAUUCCUAUUUUCAGUCAUGGUGACCUCAUGCAGGAUUUUCUGAUAGUAUAUAUCAGUAUGAUAUCAUCUUACUAAAAUCAAUAGGAAAUACAGUCCAAAUUUUUG
ensembl:lncRNA